rnacentral:rRNA from 1 species
GACGUAGGGUGCGAGCGUUGUCCGGAUUUAUUGGGCGUAAAGAGCUCGUAGGCGGCUCGUCGCGUCGACCGUGAAAACCCGCGGCUUAACUGCGGGCUUGCGGUUGAUACGGGCGGGCUAGAGUUCGGUAGGGGAGACUGGAAUUCCUGGUGUAGCGGUGGAAUGCGCAGAUAUCAGGAGGAACACCAAUAGCGAAGGCAGCUCGCUGGGACGUUACUGACACUGAGGCGCGAAAGCGUGGGGAGCGAACAGG